CGCUGGUGCUUAUAUAAUGGGGCGCAGUCGAAAUCCCAGUCGCCCGCCAUCGCUGUGAGAUUCGGACGCUGGGGCCCGCGUCCAAGUCAUUGACCGGUGUUUUCCUCAUAUACGAGCGCACCUACGUACAAUCGCUGUGUACUUUAUACGAAUAUACGGUGGGCCAACCCCACGUCGCUCGGUGUACCAAGCCACUGCGCCACCUGCCCCAGUUCUAAUUUCGAAGCACUCGUCCUCCCAAACCGAGCCUCCCCUUCCUCUGCUCUUCCGCCGUCGUCCUCCAUGCAGAUCCAUGGCCGCCCCCAAGGUUUUACUGAGCUGCUUAUCAGCAUGAAGAGGUCUGGCGUGGCAGCAGGUCGAGUGCUUGGAGAAGUUCGUCGCCGGCAACGCCAUGGACACCCGUCGUGCGUCCACCGGGCUCCACGAUGACCUGCGUCGAGGACGCCUCCACCUUGGUUGGAUCUGCAGCUCGCUGUCAUCUCGCAGCUUGUCAGACGAGGGACCCCGUGGAAUUAGGUUAUCUUUUGGAGGCGCCGCGUCGCCGGGAUCUGAAACCGGCGCCAUCCAUCCAAGUGGAUCUGGCUCCAGAUACAAAAGUGAGGCCAGAUUCGUCAGUCGCCAUCCUCAGGCACGUCGCCGGUGCCUGAGAUUCCGGCCAAGUCCACGCUCGCCGGGCAUCCGGCUCUCCGUAUUUUUUCUGGCGCUUUGUGGUCUGCUGAAUCAGCUUCUUCUGAGCUUCGGUCCUCUGUUUGGGCGGAUGACAUCUGUAAUUUCAUGGGUUCUGCAAAGAGGCAUUGUACAGAAAAGAGCAAGAUACCCGUAGAUAGCGACGUAAUCAGAAAACAGCUAAUAAGUGAUCUGGAAGGGUAUUUAAGUCAAAAAUUCCGGAGCAUAUAAGGGAAGACCUGAUUCAAUCCCUUAUAUUAUACUUCCAUGACAUAUUUGAUGGAUGCUAAAGCUUUUUCGUGGAUUUUUUCUGAAGGUAAUAAUAAUAAGCUUACCUAUAUUUUUUCACAGCCGGUGCAAACAUAAUCUUACUGAAAAUACCAUGUCUCAUGCGGAAAUGCAUGUUUCUGGUUAUGGUGAUGAUCCUAUUGUCCAGUUUGUAUAUUUACAAUAUUGCCCUUCAAUACUAACAGGCUGUCGUGCUUCACAAUGUAGGUGGCGGUGGAAUCCUGUUCGUCUACUACUCUAAUACAAGCUACUUGUGCCUUCUGCUGCUUAUUAUUUUUAGGAAAUUUUUGUUUUCUAAGAUGAGAUGAGAAGUAGAGUGGCCAACUCAGUUUGCUUUCGUUCUAUAUGCUAUGGGCUUGUAACCCCAGUCUCGUUCCACCCCUUCUGUUUGUACUAUGCAGCAAAUUAUCUGUGUCUUUCUAAUAGACAUACCAUAGAGGGUACACUAUGAGCUACCACAAUGUACUCUAUGGAACAGUAUCAAAGGACAGAAUGCUUAAGAAAA